UGCAGUCGAGCGGAUGACGGGAGCUUGCUCCUUGAUUCAGCGGCGGACGGGUGAGUAAUGCCUAGGAAUCUGCCUGGUAGUGGGGGACAACGUUUCGAAAGGAACGCUAAUACCGCAUACGUCCUACGGGAGAAAGCAGGGGACCUUCGGGCCUUGCGCUAUCAGAUGAGCCUAGGUCGGAUUAGCUAGUUGGUGGGGUAAUGGCUCACCCAGGCGACCAUCCCUAACUGGGUGAGAGGGUGAUCAAGCACACUGGAACUGAGACACCGUCCAGACUCCUACGGCAGGGAGCAGGGGGGAAUAUUGGACAAUGGGCCAAAGCCUGAUCCAGCCAUGCCGCUGUGUGAAGAAGGC
rnacentral:rRNA from 1 species